AACCAGUGCCCCUUAGUUAAAACUUGGAGCGGGGGUCAAGACCUGGGAGGAUAGCAGAGGAAUGCCGUCAUGAUCAACACAGCACCAUGAUGAUGACGACUCGAAGUCCCGUCUAAAAAUCCAGAAGACACCCGGUCCCACCGAGGCCGGACAAAAAAAGUUCUUUCCGGCCCCGUGACUCUCUGGGCCUGAGCGGCCCCACCAGCCGACCCCGACACCAACGUCUCCACCUCUCUGCUCCGCACCCACAUAGCCGCCUCUGCGGGUCUCCGGCGCGGGACUUCGACAACGUCCUCCCCGCCAACCUUGCCCGACCGUACGGUCAAGUCAAACGGCCGAUGUUUCGGGCCAACCGGGAGGUAGAGAUCAAAGAACGGGCGUUUUGGGUCAACCGGGAACCCCGACGCGGACCGGCGAGGCGGGGGGCGGCACUUACGGUCAUUGCAUAACGGGCCGCUGAAGGAGGUCAUGCUACAGUCGCAGCUGAAUCCGUCCCACUGCUGCAGGCACACGCCUUGGUUGGCGCAAGAAUCCUCUUGACACGUGGUGCUGGGCCCUGCGGGGGGAAUCCGGAGAGAAGCCAGGUGUCACUCGUCCGUCCCCUCCAAGGCCGCCGCCCGCUCGGUUCGGGACACAGAUUGAGAACACGGGGACUAGUUGCCAACACCUUAAAUUGAAGGGUCGAAACCCAGAGAGUGGACCGCCCUCUCUAGUGGGAACAGCGUUGUCUAUUGCCGGGGACCGUACUGAGCGCCUACAGAGCUGGAAGCUUCUGGCACUUUCCAAUAAGGAGAGGCCCAGGCACCCGCACGUGACACCGACAGAGGGUCAGCGGCGAAGCUCCGGAGCCGCCGGGAUCCCAGAAGCGGGACUCGUGUCCCACUUCGCCUUGGGCGAACACCGGAUUUGGGCUUCCGGACGAGGCGGGGGACCCGCCCGGUGAACAGAGGAAUUUAAAACAUCGGGAGAUGGAAAUGAAGACUGGCAAAAUGACCCACGGGUUGGAGAUUCCGGGAACCUGUUCGGCAAAAAUGUGGAUCGGAAAAGGAGAGCGACUUUUUUUUGUCCCUUUUUUUUUUUUUUAUUCACUUGUCAGGUAUGUUGGCAAGUAUCAGCUCAUCCAUGCUUGAGCAAUCCCAUGCAUUAAAAAAAAAAUCCAAAAAUAAACAAAUGAAAUAAAUCA